AUAUUCUUCGCCGCAUCUUUUAUGGAACAAGUAGGAGAGAUUCGAUUCCCUCCCUCUCCGGUGGAGGGAGAGCAGCAUUAGGUCCUCCGGAUUUGAAUUCGAAGAUGAACAAGGCCGAUUCUGGUGAUCGCUAUCAAAAAUUGAGGACUUCGUGGAAGACUUCAGAUAUCAAAUCUCUGUCUGCGCACUGCAUGAAUACGUUGAACUCCUCACGGAUCUCAAAUAUCUUCCCAAACUUCACAAGAUACCUCAUGCAGCUAGCCUUCAGUUCAGGCAACUGAUAGAGAUAAGCGUUCUGCAGCCUCUCGAGCACAUUCUUCGUGUCUAUAUCCUCUACAAGACUCUUGUGGCACGCGUCUUUCAGAUCAGCAAUAUCAUAUUUAUCAGCUGCUUGGAGAAGCGCCAACCUGUGCGUUAGAAAGUCUUCGUUCUGGAUGUUUCCGUAGAUAUAACUUAGGAACGCUCGGCAAGCUUCGAGCGGCAUGUCAGGUAUGUUUAUGGCUGAGAGUUCUUUCUCUUUCAGGUCAUGCAGAAACAUGCUGCGGAAAACAGGCGAACGGGCAGCGAGAACAGCUCGGUGCGCUCCGAUGCUUCCAUCAGAGGCGUUGAUUGUUAUGUCGGUGUAAAUGCUUUCUGUCAACAUACGUCCAAGGGAUGUUACCGCUGUAACUUCGGAUUGGUUCUGCGUUGAACCGUCUGCCCAGAUUGAAACCUUGAGGUCAAGAAACUCGACGUCGAUGAUGAUUUUUCCAGUCAAGGGAACUUCAAUUGUCCAGAGGAAAUCUUCGUUUGUCUUGAUCCUCUUAUCUAUUACUUCUGCAUCAUUCGAGUAAAUCAUUAAAGAAACAAUGUUUUUCAAAAUUCAUCUUUUGUUGUGGAACAGGAACAAAGCAAGAUCUUGUCUCUACCUGGAUGAGAAAAAGCUUUCCUCUCACCAGUAGAAGAGACAACACGAAGAACAAAGGAAGCAACAGACAAAUGCCUUCAAAUCAAUAACCCACCAUAUAGUGUCAAAAUCAUUCUUAUUACCAAACACAUCAACUACUAAAAAAGGAAGGAGAGAGAGAGAUACCAGUUCCAAAGACCCAUCUUGAAAGGAUCGGACUUGCGGUAAGUGGAGGAAGAGAGAUUGAGGAUACGCCAUUGGGCGAGCCUGGAGAUGGUGUCUACUCUGUAAGCUGAAUCAGUCAUCCUAGAGAAAGCCAGAGCUGCAGAGAUGUCAUGGAUGCAAUCCAACCAACCCUCCAGCAGAUUCUCCCCUGACUUUCCCAGGUUUGCUCUCUUCUUCUUCUCCCCUUCUUCUUACCAUAUAAUAGUAUAUGUACACGCAACACUAGAAUCAAGGAGAUAUGGGGUUUAGGGAGAUGAAUUGUUUAAUGGAUGGAUGGGAGGAAUCAUUAGCGUUUCUUGGAUUGGUAAUUCUUAGGGGGAAGCAAAGUCUGUGCUUUGCUUUUACGUCAUUUGAAUAAGAGAGAGAGACAGGGGGAAAGAGUAAAGUCUGAAGUGUGUUGGUUCAAUAUGACCAUAUGUUUCUUAACACUUGGCCUUAUUUCUCACCCUGGCCCACCCUUAUGGGGCGUGUGUCUGUUUUAUUGGACGUCUUUGAGUCUUCUCUUCCAACUAAUUUCAGACUUUAGGUUUAUAGACACUUCAACAUUUCUUGGGUUUGAUAUGGUUUGUCACAUUACAUAAAUACCCCUAGCGAAUUAUCAUUUGGUAUUAUUAUAGAUUGAUCUGCUGGUACACGUAGUUUGAAUUAGUCCAUAAUAUUUUUGGUUAUUGUCGAAUUGUCAUUUGUCAUUAGUUAUAUGUCAUUGUAUGUGGUUAACUACAUAGUCUACAUAUAAUCAUCCACUUUAUUAUUUUAAUGAAUAAUUACUUGAUAGUGAGUGUUUACUAUAGUCUUCAUAGGAAAAUCUUGAUUUAUUAGGAAUCUAAUUGCAUAGUUAUCAGUGUGAGGAUAGCAUUGGAGUGUGAUGGAAGCAAUUAGAAUUCUUUUGUGUGCUUCCAAGGUAGGCAAAUCUACUUUACGAUUAGUGUAUUGAUAUAUAAUUAUGUAUAAGUAAAUUUGCGUGACAAAGAAAGAAGAUUAUAUAGUACAGUAGUAUUAGAUUAAUGUGAAGUGUUCUUUUCAGCCCUCACAUAGAUUUGCGUGUUUUCCCUGCCAACUUGGUUCCUUCUGCCCAUUCCUUUGCAAGUUACAACUUCAUCGGAUCCUUCAACUUGAUUUUCCCAUACAUUCUCACAUAUUCAAAAUUAUAGUGAUAUAUCAAAUAAAUAUUAUUAUUGUC